GUAGUCUUCGCCCGCUCGGCCUUUGCUUGCUCCUGUCUCUCGUUGUUUUUGUCUCUGUAGCCGUUGCUCACACCGCCAACUGUUUGUCGUUCUCACUCUGGCGCUAGUUCGGGUGGCCUCAGGGUGCUUAAGCAGGAGCGCCGGUGGCAGCGUGUGCAAGGGAGCUGAGGGAACCCUCGGAUUGUGCCCGCUCUCGCUUCUGCUUUGCUGAUGAAGGCGGGCGACGCUUGCGAGGGAGUGUUUGGGAUGCGUUAGCUGGUGGCUGGUGUCUGGUGUUAUCAUGAAAGGCAGGGAUGAAGAUGUGGGCUACUGGAACUACCCAUAGAGACACUUCGAUACUGGAAUCAAAUGACAUGAUGAGUAGCAAAGUGACAGUUGAAUCAGGAGUUGACAUGGAUGACUGUAAAGUCUGGGGAAGCUCGUGAGGUGAAGAUUCAGAGAGCAGACAAGGUGAACUGUAUUUUCGGAUAUUUACUCCACCUUUUAGGUUUAAACAGGUUGAACGAUGGAUACAGUCCGUCGUUCUCUGCGGGUAGGAAGAUCAAAACUUGGUACUGAGCCAGUAUCUAGAUCAACACCAGCCAUUGAGCCGAAAAAGACUGGCAGGCAGCUCUCUGGGAAGAAAGUACUCAUAGAUGUCACAAACACGUGCGACAGUGAAUCGAAUCGUUCCAGAGGGACUCGCGUAGCCAGUAAACAGGGCGAGUGUAAUGAAUUGGGCAAUCGAUCGGCCUUGAAACCUGCAGUUGAUUUGCAAAUGCCAAGUAUUACAAAGAACAAGAAGAAAGUAACUAGCAGCAAAACCGUUUCAAGUUCAUCGUCCCUCAGUGAAUCCAAGACUACUACUCUGGCUGCUACAGCUAAGGACCCUUAUGUUAAAGCAGUUCAAGUGCGGAAAAUUCAGGAGAAAGAGGCUGUUGUUGGUAGCAAGUCUGGUCCCACCUCAAUUCCGCAUGAGGUAGUCAAUCCCAUUGCUACGCUGAAGGAGAAUUUAGAGAAGCCUAACCGGGUGCGGAAGGCUAAAGACCCAAGGAUUCCAGGUGAUAACAAGAGUCUCUCCACUUCAAAUUCACUGGAUGCAUCCAAAACCAUAUCUGUGGUGGUCACACCGAAGGACCCUGUGGUGAAGGUUUGCCGGUCUCGAAAGAUUAAAGGAUCAGUGGAGUUGCAGUCAAACUCUGGUAUCACUCAUGUGAGCGAUGGGGUCAGUAUUGUUUUUCAAGGAACUGGAACUGUGAAGCAAAAUACAAUUGGGCCAUCAUGCCAAAGGUUAGCACAGGUUGGAUCAACUCAGAUUACUGAUGAAGAUAUUGGUGCAGUCAAGGAGAAGAUAGUGUGCGAUGAGCAAAGCAGCAUUUCCCAUGAGCAGCAACAUCGAAAAAGAAUUCCAAGAUCAACCGGAAAGAGCAGUGGUUUGGGAGAAGCUCAUUCUGAAGCGAAGACGACUUUCGUGAAACCGAAGAGGGUCUACAUGUCUAGCAAAGGCUUAGAUGCAACAUCAUCUAAUGGCAAAAAAAUGGCAUUGCCACUUAAAGGGAAGAAAAUUAUGGGUAGGAAGGCUCCGGCGAAGAUCAUAGACAUGCAAGCACCGUCUUCGUUAGUCACUGGAUUUAAUGACAGCCGUAUUAAUAUUGCUAUGUCAGGCCGCGAUACUAACUGUAUAAUUGAAUCCUUCAGAAAAGUCUCGCUGAAGGUAUCGAAUGAAAACCAAGGUAGUGCCAACAGAUCUACCACUGAGGAUGGUUUGGUGACCCCUAGAGUAGGAGCCUCAGAUAAGUGGAAGAACAGCAGAACAGCCACGCCCAAGUCUGACUACAAGCAUUUGCUAGGAAGUGGAGGAAAAUCUGCGCAGAAAAACAACAGAAGUACCGUGCGGUUGGAAUCAUCUGGCGUUAUAAUGAGUGCUUCAACGGAACUAAUAGUGAACAAUGUCCUAGUCGGAAAACCCGCACUGAAAAAGAGAACCAAGAAGAACAUAGUAAUGCUAUCAGGCAAGACAGCUGAAGGAGCAGUGGGUGGUGAAGAUGCAUGUCCCGCAGGAGGGCAAGGACAAGGUGAGGCAAACUCUAGAGUUUUGAACGAAGUUCCCACUGGAGCCUCUAAAAGUACAUCUGUACAGCAAAGCUUUAGGAGAAAUGCUACUCGUGGGGCUAGGAAACCUGUGAACUAUGCAGAAGAGGACAACCUUGUCACUAGCAAAAUUUCCUCUGUUUCAACUGGGACCUCAAUGUUGCACAGUGGUCAGACUUCAACCAAAGUUGGAGCACCAACUGUCCAACAGGCAACAAGGAGGGGCAGAAGAAAGGUUGAGGCAGCGGUUAUUGCACCGACACACAGUUGCAUUGAAAAUCCGCUUCGCGUCGAUAGCGAAGACUUAAACAGCGGCGUCAUUGCGAUUCCAACUACCAUAGUGAGCUCUUCGGAACAGGAGAACGAUCGAUUUAAGUUAAAAAAGUACGCCUGCGAGAACGUACCAAAGGACCUAUCCCCAGCAGCUACAACUAAGUCGACAAUACGUGUAGCAGAAAGCUCAAUUCAAUUACCUAGUUCAAUUAUGACAGAGAAGCAGUGCUCGUCUAGCGUUCACACGAUAGACGUUGAAAAACUUGCCCCCAGUCUAGAGGAUACAGCACGAACUCCAACUCGUAAAUUCAUCCACGCGAGCAGGACACCAAAAGCCAAGAUUCAAGAUAGCCCCAACUUACCCACAGCUGGAUUGUCGGAGCAAAGUGCCCAUAUCACAGUUGCGACCGGCGCAUAUGCAACAAAGUCUUCAUCUAGUGGAGAAGUAGGUAUUAAAUCACCAUCCUCAAAACCACCACUGAAGAGGGGACAGAAACGUGGCCGCAGAGAGAACAAACUUGGGCCAAAUAUUACCCUUGGCCAAACUUCUGACCUUGAUAGAUUGUUGAUAGACGCCGCUGUUGAUGCGAAGCCAAAUUGCUUUGUACAUCUGCGUGAUGUAAAUGCAUUUAUCUCAAGCGAUGAUCUUGAAAAGUACAACAAGGAAAUCAGUGGAGUGCACGAGCUCUACGAGCAGGUGGACAAGGGCGAAGUAGUGGCUGAGGAUGACCCUGACCAGGCAGUGUUUGAGCAUGAAGACCAGUCGUGCGUAAAUGUUUCAGGGAAAGAAUGCAACACUUUACCUUUCAAGCCUUUGGCUUCAUUUGAUGAUGCGGACAUCUCGAAAAGGUUGAAGGAUUGUUGUAAAACUCUUGGGAAACCUUCUCCACUUCAAGCCCAUGCUAUACCUUUCCUCCUGGCCUCCCGUGAUCUUGUCGCAGUAUCUGAGUCACAUGCUGGAUUUGUCCAAGUCUAUGGUAUGCCUGUAAUCCAACACGCAGUGAAGAAAAAAAAGAGUUAUGUUAGGAAACGGCCUUCACCUCUCUGCUUGGUACUCGCAACCUCUUCAGAUCAUGCCCGACAGAUAACAGAAUCACUGAAGGAGACUUAUGGUUCCCUACGUGUUAAUAUCGCAAGCGCUGUUGAGAAUUCUGAAAAUGUGUCUAAGAUGGAAUCAGUGAAACCUGGAGUGGCAAUUCUCGUGAGCACACCGCACUGCUUGCAGAAGAUGCUUGAGGAUGGUAGCUGUUCACUCGCUUUAGUAGCAUUCAUUGUACUGGAUGGUGCAGAUUGCAUGUUGAACAAUGGGUGCGAGGCAUCGUUGCAAGUUAUUUUUGAUCAAGCUCCUGCAUCCCAGCUUGUUGGAGUGUUCUCUUCAACUUGUGCAUCUGGACUUGAACAGCUGGUGCAAAAUUUUGUUCCGAAUUCGGAUGUAGUAAAAAUAAUUGUAAACAAAUCCGUUAAUAUUACUAUGGACACGCAAGAUCCUCUUCCACUAGAGCAGGAUGUCCAUCAAAUUGUAGAGGUUAUUGAAGAAUCCAACAGAGAUACAAGUUUGACUUCUCUGCUACGAUCAUUUCAAAAGGGAAAGAAGAAUCGAGUUCUGGUGUACGUGCUUUACAAAGAAGAAGCACUUCAUGUUGAAGGUUUGCUGCAACAGAGAGGGUGGAAAGUUGCUUCAGUUCAUGGAGGAAUAUUUGAGCCGGACAGGAACAAGGCUGUCUUUUCCUUCCAGAAUGGCUCAAGUUCUGUUCUUGUCGCUACCGAUGUGGCUGCGAGGGGUUUGGCCAUUCCCAACGUGGACUACGUCAUCAACUAUAGCUUUCCAUACACGUUAUAUGAUUAUGCUCGUCGACUUGGGCAAAUAGGCAGGACAGGACAAAGAGGCAUCAUGCAUACUUUCUUCCUGCCAUCCAAUCAGGCUCGAGCCAAGGAGCUUGUUGAGGUGUUAAGAGAAGCAAAGCAAGAUGUUCCCGAGGGGUUGCUACUUUUCACAAGCCCCGCUCAAAAGAAGCCAAGAACCGAAUAUUGAGACAGGAUUUUCUUGCACAUGUAUGUCCUACUUGAACAUGCAUUUGCUGCAUCUAAGCAAAGAGGACUAACAUAUGGGAUAUACCUACUUCAACUUCAGAUAGCUACGAAUUGUUAGUGUCGUCUUGAAUAGAAGACUGUCUGUUAUCGGAAAGCGUGUCAACAAUGUGCUUCAUACCAAAUCCCAUUGGCACCGACAUCCAAUGGCUGUCGCUUGGGUCGAAAGAUACCUUCCAUCGGCGCUCGAGGCACAGAACGCUAUAAUCUGGGGCUCAAUGAGAGCUUUCUAUUUCCUCCCGCAAGCUUACUUGGCUACUUAUAUAUACAUGCUCCUUGUAUCCGUGAAGGUAGGUGUAUAUAUAUUGUGUUGUGCUUCUAUUCCUAGCUGGGGUAGGGAGUAAUGAUCCCGUUCUAUAUAUGAUAGAAGAUGCCUCAGUCUGACAAAAGUCUUGCCGGUUUGGGCAUGGCUGCCCCCCGGAUGAAGAAUGGAUGUCAACACGGAGUAAGUGUGAUGCACGGAGCUUUUUCGCUGGCAGUUACUAAUGGUUGGUAACCCUCCGUUUGUUCACGAAAACCCGACUCAGAGCUGCUGGUUUGCUUUUAGGUGGGAGUCUGAACGGUGAAGUCCGAAGUUGACGUCCAUCUUUGCCGGAUUUAGGCUUCUCUACCGUAAGGGUUCUCUUUCUUCCCCACAUAAGUAUCCUUAUCGUCAGACAUGCUUACAAUGCAAUACCACUUUCAAA